UCCGUUAUGGUGUAGUGGCUAACAUUAUCGCCUCUCAUAUUAUUCAGAUUGGUAGCUGAAGGACGCGAUAGCCCAGGGUUCGAUUCCCUGUAACGGAA